GAUGAACGCUAGCGGCAGGCCUAAUACAUGCAAGUCGAACGGUGUCUUCGGACAUAGUGGCGCACGGGUGCGUAACACGUAUGCAACCUACCUUACAUUGGGGGAUAGCCUUUCGAAAGGGAGAUUAAUACCGCAUAAGACAGUAACUAGGCAUCUAGUAGCUGUUAAAGAUUUAUCGAUGUAAGCUGGGCAUGCGUCCAAUUAGUUAGUUGGCGAGGUAAUGGCUCACCAAGACGAUGAUUGGUAGGGGAACUGAGAGGUCAAUCCCCCACACUGGCACUGAGAUACGGGCCAGACUCCUACGGGAGGCAGCAGUAGGGAAUAUUGGGCAAUGGGCGCAAACCUGACCCAGCCAUGCCGCGUGCAGGAAGAAGGCGUUAUGCGUUGUAAACUGCUUUUAUACAGGAAGAAACGACCCUUGCGAGGGGCAUUGACGGUACUGUAUGAAUAAGCACCGGCUAACUCCGUGCCAGCAGCCGCAGUAA
rnacentral:rRNA from 1 species